GCCGUAUUCACAACUGAUCUUAAGUUAAUUUUUUGACUUAAAUAUAAGAUUUUUCUUAUAUUGUGAGAAAUUUUCUUAGAUUUAAGAUAAGAAUCCGCAAUUUACUUAAGUGGUAUUCACAACUGUUUUUUAUCUUAAGUUUUGUCUUAAGAUGGACAAUUUUUGUCUUAAAUAUAAGUCAGCUACUACCCUAUCUUAAAGUUAAGAAAUUUCUUAACUUGGCAGUAAAUCAUCUUAAAAAUGGCGGACGGUAAAUCGUCGAUUCGAUUGAAAACUUGCGUUUUUUACUAGUAUUAGAUAUAUCAUUGAGAUAUUCAACGCCAAUAAUUACAGCAAUAAUGAUUAAGUUCAAAGUAAUUUAUACACACGAUAAGUGUGAGUAAAACAAGGGAGUUAAAUCGGCAAAAAUUGAAGACGCAAAGGAGACGCUCAUUUCAUAAACCGGAGUAUGAUCGUCAGUUUCUCGCUGAUGAUAUCACACUAUUCAUUAACCUCGGAUUUUGUAGUCAUCCAGACUGACAGUAGUAUGGAGAAUAAAGAUAUCAACAUAGUAGCAACAUGUUACAUAAUUUAUAAUGCUGCUGAACAUAGCAUUACUUCCUUGACCAAAUACAUGGAGAAUGAAUCGGGAUUAAUGUGUAGUGACUAUAUACUUCCAUAAUGUAUCAGAUUUUCUAUCUGACAGCUCAUGGCAUAUAACAUCAAAUAUCACCUGUUGCAGCUUUAAAUCAUGGACACUAAAUACAUGAAAAACACAUAGGAACAAUGAAGACUUAACAGUUACUGUGUUCAUAAACACUGGAACACAUCAGAGGAAUCAAACUCUAGAAGACCACUAGUAAUCCAAAAGAUUCAUACCUGGGUACAUCAUCAAGGAGCCUUAUUGUUACUAACUUUUAUGCAGGACAUGUCAUUAUCAAAUUUCUUGUGUGAUAAAAAAUGUGUGAUAAAAUGUAAAAUCUAUCAAGCCGAUUGUGUUCAUAAUAUGCAAGAGGAAUUGGUCCAAUGUUUUCAUCGAAAAACACAUGAACAUUCUAACUUGUGAGAAACUUGAAGACUAUCAAAAGGAUAACUAUGAAAGAAAAUUUCAUUCAUGGAAAAAGAACUGUGUGAAUUAAGAUCAGAAUUAACAUUUCCUAGUAAUUGUUUUCAUUAAGAUUAUCAGCACCACUUUUUAUAGAAGAAAAAAUGAAUGUUAUAUUCAUUCGGUAUGAC